UACGGGGGGGGGCAAGCGUUGUUCGGAAUUACUGGGCGUAAAGGGCUCGUAGGCGGCCAACUAAGUCAGACGUGAAAAUCCCUCGGCUUAACCGGGGAACUGCGUCUGAUACUGGAUGGCUUGAGUUCGGGAGAGGGAUGCGGAAUUCCAGGUGUAGCGGUGAAAUGCGUAGAUAUUGGGAGGAACACCAGUGGCGAAGGCGGCUCACUGGACCGGUACUGACGCUGAUGCGCGAAAGCGUGGGGAGCAAACGGGG
rnacentral:rRNA from 1 species